rnacentral:rRNA from 1 species
UACGUAGGGUGCAAGCGUUGUCCGGAAUUAUUGGGCGUAAAGAGCUCGUAGGCGGUUCGUCGCGUCGGCUGUGAAAUCCCGAGGCUCAACCUCGGGUCUGCAGUCGAUACGGGCGGACUGGAGUUCGGCAGGGGAGACGUGGAAUUCCGUGGUGUAGCGGUGAAAUGCGCAGAUAAUCAGGAGGAACACCGGUGGCGAAGGCGGGUCUCUGGGCCGAUGACUGACGCUGAGGAGCGAAAGCGUGGGGAGCGAACAGG